AUUGAACGCUGGCGGCAUGCUUUACACAUGCAAGUCGAACGGCAGCGCGGGCUUCGGCCUGGCGGCGAGUGGCGAACGGGUGAGUAAUGCAUCGGAACGUGCCCAGUAGUGGGGGAUAGCCCGGCGAAAGCCGGAUUAAUACCGCAUACGACCUGAGGGUGAAAGCGGGGGACCGAAAGGCCUCGCGCUAUUGGCGCGGCCGAUGUCGGAUUAGCUAGUUGGUGGGGUAAAGGCUUACCAAGGCGACGAUCCGUAGCUGGUCUGAGAGGACGACCAGCCACACUGGGACUGAGACACGGCCAAGACUCCUACGGGAGGCAGCAGUGGGGAAUUUUGGACAAUGGGGGCAACACUGAUCAAGCCAUGCCGCGUGCGGGAAGAAGGCCUCCGGGUUGUAAACCGCUUUUGUUGGGGAAGAAAUCCUCUGGGCUAAUACCUCGGGGGGAUGACGGUACCGGAAGAAUAAGCACCGGCUAACUACGUG
rnacentral:rRNA from 1 species